UUAAGUUAAUAAGGGCGCACGGUGGAUGCCUUGGCACUAGAAGCCGAUGAAGGACGUGACUAACGACGAAAUGCUUUGGGGAGCUGUAAGUGAGCAAUGAUCCAGAGAUGUCCGAAUGGGGGAACCCGGCAGGUAAUGCCUGUCACUCAUUACUGUUAAGGUAAUGUAGAGGAAGACGCAGUGAACUGAAACAUCUAAGUAGCUGCAGGAAGAGAAAGCAAAAGCGAUUGCCUUAGUAGCGGCGAGCGAAACGGCAAGAGGGCAAACCGAAGAGUUUACUCUUCGGGGUUGUAGGACUGCAACGUGGACUUAAAGAUUAUAGAAGAACUACCUGGGAAGGUAGGCCAAAGAGAGUAAUAGCCUCGUAUUCGAAAUAGUCUUUAUACCUAGCAGUAUCCUGAGUACGGCGAGACACGAGAAAUCUCGUCGGAAUCUGGGAGGACCAUCUCCCAACCCUAAAUACUCUCUAGUGACCGAUAGUGAACCAGUACCGUGAGGGAAAGGUGAAAAGCACCCCGGGAGGGGAGUGAAAUAGAACCUGAAACCGUGUGCCUACAACAAGUUCGAGCCCGUUAAUGGGUGAGAGCGUGCCUUUUGUAGAAUGAACCGGCGAGUUACGAUAUGAUGCGAGGUUAAGUUGAAGAGACGGAGCCGUAGGGAAACCGAGUCUUAAUAGGGCGUAUUAGUAUCAUGUCGUAGACCCGAAACCAUGUGACCUACCCAUGAGCAGGUUGAAGGUGAGGUAAAACUCACUGGAGGACCGAACCAGGGCACGUUGAAAAGUGCUUGGAUGACUUGUGGGUAGCGGAGAAAUUCCAAACGAACUUGGAGAUAGCUGGUUCUCUCCGAAAUAGCUUUAGGGCUAGCGUCGAUGUUAAGUCUCUUGGAGGUAGAGCACUGUUUGGGUGAGGGGUCCAUCCCGGAUUACCAAUCUCAGAUAAACUCCGAAUGCCAACGAGAUAUAAUCGGCAGUCAGACUGCGAGUGCUAAGAUCCGUAGUCGAAAGGGAAACAGCCCAGACCACCAGCUAAGGUCCCAAAAUAUAUGUUAAGUGGAAAAGGAUGUGGGGUUGCACAGACAACUAGGAUGUUAGCUUGGAAGCAGCUAUUCAUUCAAAGAGUGCGUAAUAGCUCACUAGUCGAGUGACCCUGCGCCGAAAAUGUACCGGGGCUAAAACAUAUUACCGAAGCUGUGGAUACCUUUAUAGGUAUGGUAGGAGAGCGUUCUAUGUGCGAAGAAGGUGUACCGUGAGGAGUGCUGGAGCGCAUAGAAGUGAGAAUGCCGGUAUGAGUAGCGAAAGACAGGUGAGAAUCCUGUCCACCGUAAGACUAAGGUUUCCAGGGGAAGGCUCGUCCGCCCUGGGUUAGUCGGGACCUAAGGAGAGACCGAAAGGUGUAUCCGAUGGACAACAGGUUGAUAUUCCUGUACUAGAGUAUAUAGUGAUGGAGGGACGCAGUAGGCUAACUAAACCAGACGAUUGGAAGUGUCUGGCCAAGCAGUGAGGUGUGAUAUGAGUCAAAUGCUUAUAUCUAUAACAUUGAGCUGUGAUGGGGAGCGAAGUUUAGUAGCGAAGUUAGUGAUGUCACACUGCCGAGAAAAGCUUCUAGCGUUAAUUAUACUCUACCCGUACCGCAAACCGACACAGGUAGUCGAGGCGAGUAGCCUCAGGUGAGCGAGAGAACUCUCGUUAAGGAACUCGGCAAAAUGGCCCCGUAACUUCGGGAGAAGGGGCGCUGACUUAUGGUCAGCCGCAGUGAAUAGGCCCAAGCAACUGUUUAUCAAAAACACAGCUCUCUGCUAAAUCGUAAGAUGAUGUAUAGGGGGUGACGCCUGCCCGGUGCUGGAAGGUUAAGAGGAGUGCUUAGCAAUAGCGAAGGUAUGAAUUGAAGCCCCAGUAAACGGCGGCCGUAACUAUAACGGUCCUAAGGUAGCGAAAUUCCUUGUCGGGUAAGUUCC
rnacentral:rRNA from 1 species